rnacentral:rRNA from 1 species
UACGUAGGGCGCAAGCGUUGUCCGGAAUUAUUGGGCGUAAAGAGCUCGUAGGCGGCCAGUUGCGUCUGCUGUGAAAUCCCGGGGCUCAACCCCGGGCGUGCAGUGGAUACGGGCUGGCUAGAGGCAGGCAGGGGAGAACGGAAUUCCCGGUGUAGCGGUGAAAUGCGCAGAUAUCGGGAGGAACACCGGUGGCGAAGGCGGUUCUCUGGGCCUGUUCUGGACGCUGAGGAGCGA